UGGUUGAUUUCUGAAAUGAUCUGUAAUAUAUGAUAAGAUAAGAAAAAAUUAAUAUCUGAUGACUUGUGAAUAAAGGAUCUGUAAUAUGUGAUAUGUGAUAUGUGAUUUGUGAAAUAUGAUAUAUGAUAUGAUUGUUGAUCAGUCCUCACGGAGGAAAUGAUAUUUUAUGUUGAACGGUCCCCGCUCGGGGUAAUUAACACGGAAGAAUAGUAUACGAAAAUAAAUGGUAAAAUGAGAAAAAUGUGAUAUGAAAUGAUAUAUGAUGAUAUGCGAAAUCUGGAGAAACCAAAGCUAUAAGAUACAAUGAAAAUGUUGUAGUAUAGAAAUAAAUAUAUGAAUAUGUUAUCAAGAGACCAUAAGAGAAAUAUGACGAGGAUGAUGAAUAUAUAUGGGUAUCUGAACAGGUAUGCUUUGGUGUGAAAAUUCUGAGAAUUUGGAAUAUAUAUAUUGUAAUAAUAAGUCAAGAUAAUAAGGAAAUGGCAUUAAGAAUGAAAUCUCUGAAGAGACAUGAGUAAGAAUAUAUGGAAAAGUUGUAUGACGAUAAUACAAAUAAGUUUGAUAUAAUGUGAUUGUAAGUAAUUUUGGAAAUCUGUGAAAUUGAAAUGAAAACAAGCAAAAGAUUAAAAAGGAAAUAAUGUAGUUAUUAUAGUUACUAUUGUCUUAGCUGAGAGGGUUGGAUUCUGUAGUUUGGAUAUUGCUACUGGGCUUUCGAGCUCACUCCCCCUCUUUCCCCCCCUGCAGGUUAGAGUCGACAUUAUGUCAGUGGUGUUGCGCAGCUUUGCAUCUUUGGCGAGUCACUGGUGGUCAACUUGGUUUAGUAGUCGUGGCAUGUUAUGUAAUAGUUAAUCUUUAACCUUCCGCUGGAUAAAUGUUAAGUUUUUAAAUGUAAUAGAUUUUAAUUAUGCUUUUAAGCUAAAAAGAAAAAGGAAAAAUUUCAGCACGGGUUUUCGAUACUGAAACGUGACAUCACUUAUUCGGUGGGUUACCUACCGGGUAAGGGGUGUUACAAGUUUUGGUAUCAGAGCCUAGGUUUAGGCGGUUCUGGAAAGAAGUGAUUCAGUAAAGUGUGUAGAAACAUGCCACAUAGGUUUAAUUGUCUGUUAGUACCAGUGACUCGAUGCAGCUGCUUAUGUCUAAAGUGGAAAGAAGUUAACAAGGUACGGGACAUAGUUUCCCGUGUGACCGAGAAAGAUGUUAUAUGGGACUGGCCACCCCAUAUAGCUCUAAUCUCGGUAGCGUCGGUAUGUGUAAAAGAUUUAAAAAAAAAUUCAGGGAGGAUGGGUCUGAAAAUGUUGAUGAAAAGUAUGUCCUAAUGAAAGAUACUAAUAAAUAUAUGCAGAUUAUGAAAGAGUAUAAGUAAAAGAGAAGAAAAUGAGUUAAAGGAAUGAUAUGGAAAGAAAGUAAGUUAUAGACUAAGUGACCAUCAUGAUAUAAAAGUGUAACACGAAAAUUCACAAAGGUAUGUGGAUUGUCUGAUAUAAAAUGGAUUAAGAGUCAUAAAGUAAUAUCCUAUAAUGAUAAACAAAAGUAUAGAAAUAUGUGAAAGGAAAUGUGUUUGGCAAAAUGAUAAAUAUUGAUAUGAAAACAUAUGAAACUAUAAGGCAUUAUAUGAAUAAAACCAUAAAUGUGCGAAUGAGAAAAUGCGACGAAUAAGAAAUAAAUGAUAUGAUCUGAACAUGUGUGCCCCUAUAUGGAUUACAUGUGUACUUCGAAUCGGGCAAUAUGAGAUAUGACGUGAUGUGAUGGAAAUAUGAACUGAAUAAUCGUGCAAGACAAUAAAUUAUAUGAUUGGAAAUGUGAACUCCGUGAGAAUUAUGUGUGCGCUCGAAUACGAGCUAUAUAAAUGUUAGAACCGAAUGAUGAUUCAGAAAUGAAAUGGAAAAUGGGAAUGUAUGCUCUAAGCGAGCUGUAUAGUAUAUGAUAAGAUAUGUCUAAAAAUAUGAGUUUGAAAUUGAGCUAUAUGAUAUAAAAUGGUAUUCUGGUUGAAAGUGUUGUCUGUGAUCUGUAAAUGUGUUAGUUAUGGAUAAGAAUGAGUUUUGAAAAUAAAUAUGGUUGUUGAUGAAUACUGACUUGAUAUUUGAAUUAUGUUGUGAUUUGGUGGUUUGAUUUGAUAAUCUGUGAUUAACAUUGUAUCUUGUUGGUUUUGGGGAAGCACUGGUUAUAGAGAAAACGCUGCCCAAUUUUUGCUAGAAAUUGAUCAGAUAAAUUAAUACGAAGUUGUGGUAAAUAAACUGAUAAGUGAUAAUACAUGAAGAGAAUGAUGUUACAUGAUGACUUAAGAAAGGAAAAAGGGAAAAGAUAAGAAGUGUUGUGAAUGAUAAUAAAGGAAAACGUAAUGAAAUGAUGAUAUGUGGAAAGUGAAAUGCACCCUUCGUCGGCUAUAAGUGCCCGAAUAGGGACUAUGCAAUUGGGACUAUACAAUAUAUGAUGAGUAUGUGAAUUAUACAUAUGCGUGAUGAAUAUGAUAUGUGCGCCUCAUGUGGACAAAGAAAAGAUGCAAAUAACAUGGAAAUUACUAUGUAAAGAAAUGAUAAUGUGACAAAUGUGCUUGAAAUAUAUUAGAGAUAAUGAUAAUAUUAUUAUGUGAUCGCAAAAUGUGGCUAUGUGUUAAGAUGUGAUUAUGUGAUUUUGUAUGUCAUUCUGUGUUUGGUUAUGGAAGUGAGGAUACGCUAUGUAGAUGAGGAUAUAGGAUGUCGUGGAAUGGCAUACGUAUAUGCGACGCUUAUAGGAAUGAUGUAAACCCGAGGGAAUUUCGAGGACGAAAUUCCUUUUAGGGGGGAUGAGUUGUAACAUCCCGAAUUAUAGGCACCAAUAAAAGGUUUGGAUAUGUGGUAAGGAAUAGUAGUUAAGUUAAACCGUAAGGUAUAAAUUUGAUACGAAAUGCCGAUUAGUCAAUUUUCGGCAAUUUCUUUUGUCCGUGUAAAAUCAUAAAUCGAAGCUAAGGGGUAAUAAUUUUAUAAAUUACAAAUUAUGGCCUAGAAUAAUUGUUGAUAAUGUGAGGAAUUGUUUUGGGCCAUUUGAAGGUAAUUAAAAAAAUUUCUAUCGCCGAUAAUUUCAGUUUUUAACGAAAACGAUCGGCGAAACUUUUGAAGAUAUAGACAGGAAUAAUUUUGCCUUAAACUAGAAUUUAAAUGCUAAAUGAUGAUAUAAAGAGUUCCUAAAUGUGAUAUCAUAUGAUAGGGCAAUAAAAUGUUACAAGAUAAUUAAUUUAUUUAAAAACUAACUAAAUAAUUAAAUAAUGAUUAGAAUUCUCUAGAGAAUUCUUUUGUCUAUCAUCAACUCCAAACCCCCCCUCAUUUCAGCCACAAGCACGUCCUCCCCCUCUCCAUGGAAGACCAAAAGCUUAAGCUUUUUAAUUUCCAAAUAUUUGUCAUUUAAUCGGUAAAUCGAUCGGGUAAUCUUGUAUCCGCCGGCAAAUCGAGCGAAGGAGCAUAUAGUGCGUUUUGAUCACAAAGGAGUGGAUUUAGAGGGUAGAGAAGUAUCAAGGUGAAAUAGGCUUAUGUUCAUAAGCCUGCGAGGUUAGAGUCGACAUUAUGUCAGUGGUGUUGCGCAGCUUUGCAUCUUUGGCGAGUCACUGGUGGUCAACUUGGUUUAGUAGUCGUGGCAUGUUAUGUAAUAGUUAAUCUUUAACCUUCCGCUGGAUAAAUGUUAAGUUUUUAAAUGUAAUAGAUUUUAAUUAUGCUUUUAAGCUAAAAAGAAAAAGGAAAAAUUUCAGCACGGGUUUUCGAUACUGAAACGUGACAUCACUUAUUCGGUGGGUUACCUACCGGGUAAGGGGUGUUACAAGUUUUGGUAUCAGAGCCUAGGUUUAGGCGGUUCUGGAAAGAAGUGAUUCAGUAAAGUGUGUAGAAACAUGCCACAUAGGUUUAAUUGUCUGUUAGUACCAGUGACUCGAUGCAGCUGCUUAUGUCUAAAGUGGAAAGAAGUUAACAAGGUACGGGACAUAGUUUCCCGUGUGACCGAGAAAGAUGUUAUAUGGGACUGGCCACCCCAUAUAGCUCUAAUCUCGGUAGCGUCGGUAUGUGUAAAAGAUUUAAAAAAAAAUUCAGGGAGGAUGGGUCUGAAAAUGUUGAUGAAAAGUAUGUCCUAAUGAAAGAUACUAAUAAAUAUAUGCAGAUUAUGAAAGAGUAUAAGUAAAAGAGAAGAAAAUGAGUUAAAGGAAUGAUAUGGAAAGAAAGUAAGUUAUAGACUAAGUGACCAUCAUGAUAUAAAAGUGUAACACGAAAAUUCACAAAGGUAUGUGGAUUGUCUGAUAUAAAAUGGAUUAAGAGUCAUAAAGUAAUAUCCUAUAAUGAUAAACAAAAGUAUAGAAAUAUGUGAAAGGAAAUGUGUUUGGCAAAAUGAUAAAUAUUGAUAUGAAAACAUAUGAAACUAUAAGGCAUUAUAUGAAUAAAACCAUAAAUGUGCGAAUGAGAAAAUGCGACGAAUAAGAAAUAAAUGAUAUGAUCUGAACAUGUGUGCCCCUAUAUGGAUUACAUGUGUACUUCGAAUCGGGCAAUAUGAGAUAUGACGUGAUGUGAUGGAAAUAUGAACUGAAUAAUCGUGCAAGACAAUAAAUUAUAUGAUUGGAAAUGUGAACUCCGUGAGAAUUAUGUGUGCGCUCGAAUACGAGCUAUAUAAAUGUUAGAACCGAAUGAUGAUUCAGAAAUGAAAUGGAAAAUGGGAAUGUAUGCUCUAAGCGAGCUGUAUAGUAUAUGAUAAGAUAUGUCUAAAAAUAUGAGUUUGAAAUUGAGCUAUAUGAUAUAAAAUGGUAUUCUGGUUGAAAGUGUUGUCUGUGAUCUGUAAAUGUGUUAGUUAUGGAUAAGAAUGAGUUUUGAAAAUAAAUAUGGUUGUUGAUGAAUACUGACUUGAUAUUUGAAUUAUGUUGUGAUUUGGUGGUUUGAUUUGAUAAUCUGUGAUUAACAUUGUAUCUUGUUGGUUUUGGGGAAGCACUGGUUAUAGAGAAAACGCUGCCCAAUUUUUGCUAGAAAUUGAUCAGAUAAAUUAAUACGAAGUUGUGGUAAAUAAACUGAUAAGUGAUAAUACAUGAAGAGAAUGAUGUUACAUGAUGACUUAAGAAAGGAAAAAGGGAAAAGAUAAGAAGUGUUGUGAAUGAUAAUAAAGGAAAACGUAAUGAAAUGAUGAUAUGUGGAAAGUGAAAUGCACCCUUCGUCGGCUAUAAGUGCCCGAAUAGGGACUAUGCAAUUGGGACUAUACAAUAUAUGAUGAGUAUGUGAAUUAUACAUAUGCGUGAUGAAUAUGAUAUGUGCGCCUCAUGUGGACAAAGAAAAGAUGCAAAUAACAUGGAAAUUACUAUGUAAAGAAAUGAUAAUGUGACAAAUGUGCUUGAAAUAUAUUAGAGAUAAUGAUAAUAUUAUUAUGUGAUCGCAAAAUGUGGCUAUGUGUUAAGAUGUGAUUAUGUGAUUUUGUAUGUCAUUCUGUGUUUGGUUAUGGAAGUGAGGAUACGCUAUGUAGAUGAGGAUAUAGGAUGUCGUGGAAUGGCAUACGUAUAUGCGACGCUUAUAGGAAUGAUGUAAACCCGAGGGAAUUUCGAGGACGAAAUUCCUUUUAGGGGGGAUGAGUUGUAACAUCCCGAAUUAUAGGCACCAAUAAAAGGUUUGGAUAUGUGGUAAGGAAUAGUAGUUAAGUUAAACCGUAAGGUAUAAAUUUGAUACGAAAUGCCGAUUAGUCAAUUUUCGGCAAUUUCUUUUGUCCGUGUAAAAUCAUAAAUCGAAGCUAAGGGGUAAUAAUUUUAUAAAUUACAAAUUAUGGCCUAGAAUAAUUGUUGAUAAUGUGAGGAAUUGUUUUGGGCCAUUUGAAGGUAAUUAAAAAAAUUUCUAUCGCCGAUAAUUUCAGUUUUUAACGAAAACGAUCGGCGAAACUUUUGAAGAUAUAGACAGGAAUAAUUUUGCCUUAAACUAGAAUUUAAAUGCUAAAUGAUGAUAUAAAGAGUUCCUAAAUGUGAUAUCAUAUGAUAGGGCAAUAAAAUGUUACAAGAUAAUUAAUUUAUUUAAAAACUAACUAAAUAAUUAAAUAAUGAUUAGAAUUCUCUAGAGAAUUCUUUUGUCUAUCAUCAACUCCAAACCCCCCCUCAUUUCAGCCACAAGCACGUCCUCCCCCUCUCCAUGGAAGACCAAAAGCUUAAGCUUUUUAAUUUCCAAAUAUUUGUCAUUUAAUCGGUAAAUCGAUCGGGUAAUCUUGUAUCCGCCGGCAAAUCGAGCGAAGGAGCAUAUAGUGCGUUUUGAUCACAAAGGAGUGGAUUUAGAGGGUAGAGAAGUAUCAAGGUGAAAUAGGCUUAUGUUCAUAAGCCUGCGAGGUUAGAGUCGACAUUAUGUCAGUGGUGUUGCGCAGCUUUGCAUCUUUGGCGAGUCACUGGUGGUCAACUUGGUUUAGUAGUCGUGGCAUGUUAUGUAAUAGUUAAUCUUUAACCUUCCGCUGGAUAAAUGUUAAGUUUUUAAAUGUAAUAGAUUUUAAUUAUGCUUUUAAGCUAAAAAGAAAAAGGAAAAAUUUCAGCA